GCUGGGCAUGGCGGUGCGUGCCUGUAAUCCCAGCAGCUCAGGAGGCUGAGGCAAGAGGAUCAUAAGUUCAAAGUCAGCCUCAGCAACUUAGCGAGGCCCUAAGCAACUUCGCAAGACCCUGUCUCAA
rnacentral:sRNA from 1 species